UGGACAAAUUAUUAUAUUCGCCUGUAUUCACGGCAUGAAAUAGGGGAUGACACUGUUUUUAAAAGGGAAAGUGAACAUAAUAGACUCCU
rnacentral:pre_miRNA from 1 species